ensembl:snoRNA
AGCAUUUGUGUUUGUUUUUGUUUAAUUUGUGGACAAAGACUUACAGACAAGUGUGAAAGUAAAUCCUCUUUUGCAACACGCAACUCAUUGUUCAGUAUGAGUUUUGAUACAGAUAAGAAGGAACAUG